UGAAAUAUGGUGUAUAUAUUUAUGAUUGUCAAAUUAGACUUUGGGGAAUGUAUCAUUUAUAAUUUAGGGUGAUUAAUUUGAAACGAGGCCUUCUUUUAGUAAAUUAAGUGCAUUAUUUUUAUGUUUCAUGGUGUUAGUCUGAAGAUAGUGACUUCUAGAUUGUGUAUUUGUGUGUUAAUAUUAUGUGGGUUUUGGGUUUUUUUAUUGUAUAAUUGAGAAUGAAAUAUGG
rnacentral:lncRNA from 1 species